rnacentral:rRNA from 1 species
AGCGAACGCUGGCGGCAGGCCUAACACAUGCAAGUCGAACGAACUCUUUGGAGUUAGUGGCGGACGGGUGAGUAACACGUGGGAACGUGCCUUUAGGUUCGGAAUAACUCAGGGAAACUUGUGCUAAUACCGAAUGUGCCCUUCGGGGGAAAGAUUUAUCGCCUUUAGAGCGGCCCGCGUCUGAUUAGCUAGUUGGUGAGGUAAAGGCUCACCAAGGCGACGAUCAGUAGCUGGUCUGAGAGGAUGAUCAGCCACAUUGGGACUGAGACACGGCCCAAACUCCUACGGGAGGCAGCAGUGGGGAAUCUUGCGCAAUGGGCGAAAGCCUGACGCAGCCAUGCCGCGUGAGUGAUGAAGGUCUUAGGAUUGUAAAAUUCUUUCACCGGGGACGAUAAUGACGGUACCCGGAGAAGAAGCCCCGGCUAACUUCGUGCCAGCCGCCGCGGUAA